rnacentral:rRNA from 1 species
CAGUAGCCACGGUAAUACGUAGGGUGCAAGCGUUAAUCGGAAUUACUGGGCGUAAAGCGUGCGCAGGCGGUUAUAUAAGACAGAUGUGAAAUCCCCGGGCUCAACCUGGGAACUGCAUUUGUGACUGUAUAGCCAGAGUACGGCAGAGGGGGAUGGAAUUCCGCGUGUAGCAGUGAAAUGCGUAGAUAUGCGGAGGAACACCGAUGGCGAAGGCAAUCCCCUGGGCCUGUACUGACGCUCAUGCACGAAAGCGUGGGGAGCAAACAGGAUUAGAUACCCCUGUAGUCCCUGUCUCUUAUAA